GACGAACGCUGGCGGCGUGCUUAACACAUGCAAGUCGAACGGAAAGGCCCUGCUUUUGUGGGGUGCUCGAGUGGCGAACGGGUGAGUAACACGUGAGUAACCUGCCCUUGACUUUGGGAUAACUUCAGGAAACUGGGGCUAAUACCGGAUAGGAGCUCCUGCUGCAUGGUGGGGGUUGGAAAGUUUCGGCGGUUGGGGAUGGACUCGCGGCUUAUCAGCUUGUUGGUGGGGUAGUGGCUUACCAAGGCUUUGACGGGUAGCCGGCCUGAGAGUGUGACCGGCCACAUUGGGACUGAGAUACGGCCCAGACUCCUACGGGAGGCAGCAGUGGGGAAUAUUGCACAAUGGGCGGAAGCCUGAUGCAGCAACGCAGCGUGCGGGAUGACGGCCUUCGGGUUGUAAACCGCUUUCGCCUGUGACGAAGCGUGAGUGACGGUAAUGGGUAAAGGAGCACCGGCUAACUACGUG
rnacentral:rRNA from 1 species